rnacentral:rRNA from 1 species
GACGAACGCUGGCGGCGUGCUUAACACAUGCAAGUCGAACGGAAAGGCCCUGCUUUUGUGGGGUGCUCGAGUGGCGAACGGGUGAGUAACACGUGAGUAACCUGCCCUUGACUUUGGGAUAACUUCAGGAAACUGGGGCUAAUACCGGAUAGGAGCUCCUGCUGCAUGGUGGGGGUUGGAAAGUUUCGGCGGUUGGGGAUGGACUCGCGGCUUAUCAGCUUGUUGGUGGGGUAGUGGCUUACCAAGGCUUUGACGGGUAGCCGGCCUGAGAGGGUGACCGGCCACAUUGGGACUGAGAUACGGCCCAGACUCCUACGGGGGGCACCAGUGGGGAAUAUUGCACAAUGGGCGGAAGCCUGAUGCAGCAACGCCGCGUGCGGGAUGACGGCCUUCGGGUUGUAAACCGCUUUCGCCUGUGACGAAGCGUGAGUGACGGUAAUGGGUAAAGAAGCACCGGCUAACUACGUG